GUGCUUACUUAGGCAGCACAUAUACUAAAAUUAGAACAAUACAAAGAAGAUUAGCAUAGCCCUUGCACAAGGAUGACACACAAAUUCAUGAAGCAUUCUAUAUUUUU
rnacentral:snRNA from 1 species